GGGGAAUAUUGCGCAAUGGACGAAAGUCUGACGCAGCAACGCCGCGUGAGUGAAGAAGGCCUGCGGGUCGUAAAGCUCUGUCGUUUGGGACGAAAACACGUAGGUUCAUAGCCUGCGUCUUGACGGUACCAGACAAGAAAGCACCGGCUAACUCCGUGCCAGCAGCCGCGGUAAUACGGAGGGUGCAAGCGUUGCUCGGAAUCACUGGGCGUAAAGGGGAAGUAGGUGGUCUCGUGUGUCUAAGGUGAAAUCCCGAAGCUUAACUUCGGAGCGGCCUUAGAAACUGCGAGACUCGAGUCCUAGAGAGGGUUGUAGAAUUCCCGGUGUAGCGGUGAAAUGCGUAGAGAUCGGGAGGAAUACCAGAGGCGAAAGCGACAACCUGGAUAGGUACUGACACUAAAUUCCGAAAGCGUGGGGAGCAAAC
rnacentral:rRNA from 1 species